rnacentral:rRNA from 1 species
AUUGAACGCUGGCGGCAGGCUUAACACAUGCAAGUCGAGCGAGCGGCGGACGGGUGAGUACUGUCUGGGAAACUGCCUGAUGGAGGGGGAUAACUACUGGAAACGGUAGCUACUACCGCAUACCAUCAGAUGUGCCCAGGUGUGAUUAGCUAGUAGGUGGGGUAAUGGCUCACCUAGGCGACGAUCCCUAGCUGGUCUGAGAGGAUGACGAGCCAGACUGGAACUGAGACACGGUCCAGACUCCUACGGGAGGCAGCAGUGGGGAAGAUGGCACAAUGGGGGCAAGCCUGAUGCAGCUAUGCCGCGUGUGUGAAGAAGGCCUUCGGGUUGUAAAGCACUUUCAGGGAGGAGGCGGUACUCGCAGAAGAAGCACCGGCUAACGCCGUGCCAGCAGGCGCGGUAAUUC